GAUGAAGAACGCAGCGAAAUGCGAUAAGUAGUGUGAAUUGCAGAAUUCAGUGAAUCAUCGAAUCUUUGAACGCACAUUGCGCCCCUUGGUAUUCCAUGGGGCAUGCUUGUUCGAGCGUCAUUUCAACCAUCAAGCCCUGUUUAGGCUUGUGUUGGGGCCCUGCGGUUGCCGCAGCCCCCUAAAUGCAGUGGCGGGCUCGUUGUCACUCCGAGCGCAGUAGCGUAUCUCGCUCUGGGCGUGGCGGCGGGUGCUAGCCGUGAAACACCCACUAAGGUUGACCUCGGAUCAGGUAGGAAUACCCGCUGAACUUAAGCAUAUCAAUAAGCGGAGGA
rnacentral:misc_RNA from 1 species